rnacentral:rRNA from 1 species
AUUGAACGCUGGCGGCAGGCCUAACACAUGCAAGUCGAGCGAGAGGCGGACGGGUGAGUAAUGUAUGGGGACUGCCCGAUAGAGGGGGAUAACUACUGGAAACGGUGGCUAAUACCGCAUACUAUCGGAUAACCAAUAUGGGAUUAGCUAGUAGGUGGGGUAAAGGCUAACCUAGGCGAAGAUCUAUAGCUGGUCUGAGAGGAUGAUCAGCGACACUGGGACUUAGACACGGCCCAGACGCCUACGGAGGCAGCAGUGGGGAAUAUUACACAAUGGGCGAAAGCCUUAUGUAGCAAAGCCGGGUGUAUGAAGAAGGCCUUAGGGUUGUAAAGUACUUUCAUCUGGGAGGCGUUACCCACAGCCGAAGCACCGGCUAACUCCGUGCCAGCAGCCGCGGUAAUUC